AUGCAGGCGAGGCAUGGGGCGCUCAGGCGGCUUUUAGCCAAUUUUAUAGUGAGCCUCGGGAGCAAAAAGGAGAACAGAAACGCCUCAAAAAUCUGCAGCUGGGCCAAGAAAGGAGCGGCCGGAAGGUGCGCCAGGGCGCUGAGAGCGGCACGGGUGAACGAGGCAGAGUGCUCUCACUGCGAGGUCAGAGACGCGCGUGUCCGCCCACGCAGCCAGCGAGGCCCCCAGCUCGGGCGCAGCAGGACGGCCACGGGGCGCUGGCUUUGCAGCAGGCGGGACGCGAGGUUACGGGGCCUGGUGGCUCCCUCUGAGAACUCGCGGGGUCCCUGCAGCGGCCCCCAGCUGGGCCACCACCUGCAGAGCUACAGGGUGGCGGGUCACCGGAGCCCUCAGCCCACGUGGCCCCCCGCAGGCCCACGGGCUGGGCACGGAGCGGACGGCUCCAGCGUCUGCCCUGCCGGGCCUUGGCCUUGUGCGGGGGACCCCUCCUUGGUGUGCUCUUACUCCUGCGCGCGCCCGCCUGCGCAGCCCGGAAGGCUGGGUCUGCGUUCCCAGCGCUCACGCUCAGCCGGCGGAGUCUCACCUGACUCUCCGCCUUCGCGCAACCCUAGGCACGGGGGGGCCGGGGAGAGUGUGUUUCCACUGCGAGCUGCGCACAAGCCUUUGGGGACAAAGUGCCGUGAGCGUCCCCACAGGUGCCUGCGCCACACACUUGGUCCCCAGGGUGGGAGGCGGGGCCCCAGGCCAAGCCCCUCUGUCUCUCUGGGGUCUCCAGAGGUGACCCUCGGGAGGAGGUGGCAUCUCGCUCCUUCCUGUGGCCCCAGGAACCCCAGGCAAAGCAGCUCAGCAGCCCUGGGACCCGCGGUCUCUCCCAGGCUCCUUCUGCGAGAAAGAACACAAGGCCCAGGAGCACAGGUCAGCUGGGUCCUACUUGCAAGUCUGGGGACUCUGCUCAGCAGGCCUGAGCCUCAACCGUCUGAAGAUCUCAGGACCCCUCACACAUCCCUGCCAUUCCCGUACCGUGUGGGGGAAACCACAGCAAAAAGCAGAACAAAACAUGGCAUGCAAUUCACUAUAUGACACCAGUACUAAAAGACAGUCAUCAGUGCUUCAUUUUCAGCUCAAACUGUUUCUUGCCAGGUGUAGUGGCACACGCCUCUAACCACAGCACUUGGGAGGCUGAGGCGGGAGGAUCAGCUUGAGUUCAAAGCCAGCCUGAACUACAUAGUAAAACCCUGUCUCAGAAAAACCAAACAACAGAAACAACAACGAGAAAAACUAAAAAACUGUUUCUUAACAGAAAUGCAAUAGAUUGAUACUUUUUUAGAAUAGCAUAAAACAAUUGUAAUGUGAAACAGUGCUGACUGGGACUGUCUUAUUAAGAUAGAACACCACUUCAGUUAGUUAUCUGAAGACUACCUGACAUCCCUGACUAUCCAGAAUAAAAUUAAGAGGAAAUGUUUUUUCAAAAAGAUUUGUGUGCCAGGCAUGGUGGUGCACACCUGUAAUCCCAGCACUCAGGAGGCUGAGGCAGGAGGAUCACUGUGAGUCUAAGGCCAGACUGGGCUACAUAGUGAACUUGAGGCCAGUUUGAGCUACACACAAGGAGACCUUAUCUCAAAGGAAAAAAAAAAAAGACAUGGGCUGGAGGUGUACCUAGGGGAGGUUAGGUAGAGGGUGGCAGAAACACAGAAGAAUCUUUGUUAAUAAUCUGCUCCUGGCUGAUGUGCUCUUCUUUGUACCUACUUCUAACAAGACUGGAUGCUUAGGUUUUUCCCACCCAAAGGCACCAGAAACUGGGUGAAAUGCCACCACCACAUGGCCAACAAGUAAAAAAAAAAAAAAGAACCAUCAUCAAAUAUUGAGGAAAGAGGUCCAAAAACAUAAAAAGCAAGAGUAGCCUCUAGAAGAACCUUAGCAACAGAAGUGCGUGAGGCAGAAGCUGCAGGAGCUGGAAAGAAAUGGGUGGGCGGCGAGUUAUCUUACACCCAAGACCUCUUGUGGUAAGGAAAAAGCAGGUGGACUUUGGUCAGUGUUUUUUCAUAGAAGUAGGGAAGAGUUUAACAUGAUAAAGAAUGAGGCUUCUGCAAAACGUUACACUUUCAAAGGUGUUAGUGUUUAUUUAAAAAGAGGGAGGACUUACUCUGUCAUCCUGCAAGCCAGGCAGGGUGUUGGGAAAUGGAAAAGUGUUAAACUAGCCGACAGUGACAAAACCGUGGUAAGAAUGUAAGAGAGUGGAGGAGGGCCAAGGGGUCUGGGAUUUCACCCGUGGACUUGCGGACCAGCGGCUUCCAGGAAGGCUUCCCAGAGGAGGAAAUGCUGUCCUGAUUGAGGAGAGGAGAUGCACCAGGUGCAGAGGAUGAGGGGAGAAGACGCUGUGUGGGCCCAGGCAGCCGCCCAGCGUGCAAAAACUCAGGAAGCCCCAGCAAGCUUUCGCAGGAAUGGGAGCCAAAUGGCCAUGAGGUUAAAAAGGCUAAGAGAAUUUCCCAGGCACGGGCUCCUUCGGUGCACAAAGUGUGUGUGAUCCCUUCUUUCCCGCAGCGGGUCAGGUCAGCAAAAAGCCUGCACAACAACCCACAGCCGCUCCCAGGGCCGUUUCCCUGUCCCGAAAGGGUUUGUGGCCUGGGGAGGUCGGUUGGUCAGCACUGGGUUUGCGACACUCGUCACACGCAGGUGUGGAGUCUCCCUGGCAGGAAAGCGGCUUGGACAGGGGAUACCAGGGAGGGGACCAGGCAGCCACUGAUCAUCAUCCUUCAGUCUUCAGGAGCAGGAGGAGCCGCGGGAGCUGGGAGCUGCCAGUCCUGCCAAGGCCCCAGGCCAGCCUGGCCCAGCUGUACUUGGUGGCACAUUCUGACCCUGAGGCACCAGAGUUCCCCUGUGCUGGGCAUGGGAGCCUGGGGCUCUUCUGCGGGUGACAGCAGAUUCCUCUCUGUGGCAGGCCGGGAAGUGUGUAUGUGUGGGAGCCGCUGGGCCUCUGGGGGCAGCAGGGAGACGCCACCGUGGGUGGCAGCCUGGAGGGGAGCCAGGGGCACAGGUGACUUCGUUCUCAGCCCCUGGCACCUGCCUGCAUCGCACCGGUUCCUUGCCUUCUACCUGCGACCCCAGGGCCUCCACUCCGCCUCCCUUCACCUGUCCUGGAGCUCCGACUCUGCCACGGCGACCAGUUCCACACACACGCACACGCAUGCACACGACCCCACACCGUGCACCCCAAGGCAAUUCCACCUUCUCGGCCUGCCCCGCCCCAGCCUUCUCUCACCCACGCCCUGCCCCCGUGUGCCCCUCGGCUCUCUCCGCCUCCGGCAGCUCGCUGCACCCGGGGCUUCCGAGGCAGGGAAGCGUGGUGCUGGGGACCUCCUGGCUCUGGGUCUCAGUUUACCUCACUGCACAACCAGGAAGGUCGCGACCUAAAGGGGGAUCCCCCGUGGGGGCCUCCGCAGCCCACCCUGGUGCCCGCGCCCGCCAGCCCGCGCAGCUCACCUGGUCGCCCGCACCGCGUGGCUUGCAGGGCCCUGCAGGCGGCCGCCUGGAC
ensembl:lincRNA